CCCUUAGAUGUCCUGGGCCGCACGCGCGCUACACUGACAUGUUCAACAAGCCUCCUAGUUCGACAGGAUUUGGGAAAUCUUUGAACGCAUGUCGUGAUAGGGAUAGAUCAUUGCAAUUAUUGAUCUUGAACGAGGAAUUCCUAGUAAACGCGAGUCAUCAGCUCGCAUUGAUUACGUCCCUGCCCUUUGUACACAUCGCCCGUCGCACCUACCGAUUGAAUGUUUCGGUGAAGAUUCCGGAUAGGACUUUUUUGAUUUAUUUCAAUUCUGUCUUAAAAGCUAUCUAAACCUCAACAUUUAGAGGAAGGUGAAGUCGCAACA
rnacentral:rRNA from 1 species